UGGGGAUAUAGCUCAGUUGGUAGAGUGUUUGCCUAGCAUGUACAAGGCCCUGGGUUCAAUCCCCAGUCCCUAA
rnacentral:tRNA from 1 species